rnacentral:rRNA from 1 species
UAUUGGACAAUGGGCGAAAGCCCGAUCCAGCAAUGCCGCGUGAGUGAUGAAGGCCUUAGGGUUGUAAAGCUCUUUUACCAGGGAUGAUAAUGACAGUACCGGGAGAAUAAGCUCCGGCUAACUCCGUGCCAGCAGCCGCGGUAAUACGGAGGGAGCUAGCGUUGCUCGGAAUUACUGGGCGUAAAGCGCACGUAGGCGGCUUUGUAAGUUAGAGGUGAAAGCCUGGAGCUCAACUCCAGAAUUGCCUUUGAUACUGCAUCGCUUGAAUCCAGGAGAGGUGAGUGGAAUUCCGAGUGUAGAGGUGAAAUUCGCAGAUAUUCGGAAGAACACCAGUGGCGAAGGCGGCUCACUGGACUGGUAUUGACGCUGAGGUGCGAAA